AAGUAAUGAUGUUGGAAUAGGUUCAUCUAAAAACUAUCAGUUUUUAUCAUGAAACAGUUCCUCUCACUGUUCCUCCUGUAUCAGUGGUACCAGUAAUUGAUGGACAAAUAAUAUCAUUGAAUAUCAGUGUUAAUGUAAGCAAAAUAGUCAUAAUCAAUCAAUGAAUCAGGAGCCCAUGAAUUACACUUUAUAGGUUAUCUUGGACCAGUUACUAACAUUAACUCAUCAAUUGACGACUGUUCUACAAUUGAUAUAACAUGGAUUGCUCCUACAGUUGAUGAUAGAGUAUC
rnacentral:lncRNA from 1 species